rnacentral:rRNA from 1 species
UUAACUUGGGAGUCAGAACAUGGGUGAUAAGGUCCGUGUUCGAAAGGGAAACAGCCCAGACCACCAGCUAAGGUCCCAAAAUAUAUGUUAAGUGGAAAAGGAUGUGGCGUUGCCCAGACAACUAGGAUGUUGGCUUAGAAGCAGCCAUCAUUUAAAGAGUGCGUAAUAGCUCACUAGUCGAGUGACACUGCGCCGAAAAUGUACCGGGGCUAAACAUAUUACCGAAGCUGUGGAUUGUCCUUUGGACAAUGGUAGGAGAGCGUUCUAAGGGCGUUGAAGCAUGAUCGUAAGGACAUGUGGAGCGCUUAGAAGUGAGAAUGCCGGUGUGAGUAGCGAAAGACGGGUGAGAAUCCCGUCCACCGAUUGACUAAGGUUUCCAGAGGAAGGCUCGUCCGCUCUGGGUUAGUCGGGUCCUAAGCUGAGGCCGACAGGCGUAGGCGAUGGAUAACAGGUUGAUAUUCCUGUACCACCUAUAAUCGUUUUAAUCGAUGGGGGGACGCAGUAGGAUAGGCGAAGCGUGCGAUUGGAUUGCACGUCUAAGCAGUAAGGCUGAGUAUUAGGCAAAUCCGGUACUCAUUAAGGCUGAGCUGUGAUGGGGAGAAGACAUUGUGUCUUCGAGUCGUUGAUUUCACACUGCCGAGAAAAGCCUCUAGAUAGAAAAUAGGUGCCCGUACCGCAAACCGACACAGGUAGUCAAGAUGAGAAUUCUAAGGUGAGCGAGCGAACUCUCGUUAAGGAACUCGGCAAAAUGACCCCGUAACUUCGGGAGAAGGGGUGCUCUUUAGGGUUAACGCCCAGAAGAGCCGCAGUGAAUAGGCCCAAGCGACUGUUUAUCAAAAACACAGGUCUCUGCUAAACCGUAAGGUGAUGUAUAGGGGCUGACGCCUGCCCGGUGCUGGAAGGUUAAGAGGAGUGGUUAGCUUCUGCGAAGCUACGAAUCGAAGCCCCAGUAAACGGCGGCCGUAACUAUAACGGUCCUAAGGUAGCGAAAUUCCUUGUCGGGUAAGUUCCGACCCGCACGAAAGGCGUAACGAUUUGGGCACUGUCUCAACGAGAGACUCGGUGAAAUCAUAGUACCUGUGAAGAUGCAGGUUACCCGCGACAGGACGGAAAGACCCCGUGGAGCUUUACUGUAGCCUGAUAUUGAAAUUCGGCACAGCUUGUACAGGAUAGGUAGGAGCCUUUGAAACGUGAGCGCUAGCUUACGUGGAGGCGCUGGUGGGAUACUACCCUAGCUGUGUUGGCUUUCUAACCCGCACCACUUAUCGUGGUGGGAGACAGUGUCAGGCGGGCAGUUUGACUGGGGCGGUCGCCUCCUAAAAGGUAACGGAGGCGCUCAAAGGUUCCCUCAGAAUGGUUGGAAAUCAUUCAUAGAGUGUAAAGGCAUAAGGGAGCUUGACUGCGAGACCUACAAGUCGAGCAGGGUCGAAAGACGGACUUAGUGAUCCGGUGGUUCCGCAUGGAAGGGCCAUCGCUCAACGGAUAAAAGCUACCCCGGGGAUAACAGGCUUAUCUCCCCCAAGAGUUCACAUCGACGGGGAGGUUUGGCACCUCGAUGUCGGCUCAUCGCAUCCUGGGGCUGUAGUCGGUCCCAAGGGUUGGGCUGUUCGCCCAUUAAAGCGGUACGCGAGCUGGGUUCAGAACGUCGUGAGACAGUUCGGUCCCUAUCCGUCGUGGGCGUAGGAAAUUUGAGAGGAGCUGUCCUUAGUACGAGAGGACCGGGAUGGACAUACCUCUGGUGUACCAGUUGUCGUGCCAACGGCAUAGCUGGGUAGCUAUGUGUGGACGGGAUAAGUGCUGAAAGCAUCUAAGCAUGAAGCCCCCCUCAAGAUGAGAUUUCCCAACUUCGGUUAUAAGAUCCCUCAAAGAUGAUGAGGUUAAUAGGUUCGAGGUGGAAGCAUGGUGACAUGUGGAGCUGACGAAUACUAA